rnacentral:lncRNA from 1 species
CACUUAAGUUUUCAAACCACCAAACUAGGGCUAGAAAUUCAGAGUGGUCAGUUUAGCCUUUAGCAUCUCUUAUACCUGACAUGAUAUAUAUCUGAAAUCCCCUGACCAUGCCCCACUCCAAACAAAAUAUAGGUGCCAGGUACUGAUGAUAUGCAGCUGGAUGAGGAAGACAGAAUUCCUAGUGCCAUGGAAUGCCCAGUGUAAACACAAACAAACAAAAAAACCUAGGUAGCUGCUCUGGCCUUGGGCAGACUUGCGAAGGGUGACUUAGGUCCUUAGCGUGUCCAUAUCAUACCUUUCUCUUCCUUAAUCCCCUUCUUUCUGUCCUGCCCACGUGAAAACUUGCUCUCAGGUAUGGCUCUAACUUUAGUCAUUUUUAAUUUAGUUCAAGCUAUUCUGAGGAUGAAUCAUGUUUGCAAGCCAGACAGUGUGCCCCUGGGGGAAGGGACUGUGUCUCUAUUUCUUUGUAUGGACACGCUUCUCUCCUAGCCCUCUUCCCAGUUCCAUUUCCUGCAAUAACAUGUUGCUUGCAUUUUAAGUAGUAUAGUGCUGAAGAGCACUAGCUUUGGCACCAUGGACUUGGGGGUUUGAAUCUGCAGUUUCUUAGCUGUGUAAUCUGGGGCAAAU